AGAGUUUGAUCCUGGCUCAGGACGAACGCUGGCGGCACGCUUAACACAUGCAAGUCGAACGAGAGAAGAGGAGCUUGCUUUUCUGAUCUAGUGGCGGACGGGUGAGUAACACGUGAGCAAUCUGCCUUUCAGAGGGGGAUACCGAUUGGAAACGAUCGUUAAUACCGCAUAACAUAAUUGAACCGCAUGAUUUGAUUAUCAAAGAUUUAUCGCUGAAAGAUGAGCUCGCGUCUGAUUAGCUAGUUGGUAAGGUAACGGCUUACCAAGGCGACGAUCAGUAGCCGGACUGAGAGGUUGAUCGGCCACAUGGGGACUGAGACACGGCCCAGACUCCUACGGGAGGCAGCAGUGGGGAAUAUUGCACAAUGGAGGAAACUCUGAUGCAGCGAUGCCGCGUGAGGGAAGAAGGUUUUAGGAUUGUAAACCUCUGUCUUCAGGGACGAAAAAAGACGGUACCUGAGGAGGAAGCUCCGGCUAACUACGUGCCAGCAGCCGCGGUAAUACGUAGGGAGCGAGCGUUGUCCGGAAUUACUGGGUGUAAAGGGAGCGUAGGCGGGAUCGCAAGUCAGAUGUGAAAACUAUGGGCUUAACCCAUAAACUGCAUUUGAAACUGUGGUUCUUGAGUGAAGUAGAGGUAAGCGGAAUUCCUAGUGUAGCGGUGAAAUGCGUAGAUAUUAGGAGGAACAUCAGUGGCGAAGGCGGCUUACUGGGCUUUAACUGACGCUGAGGCUCGAAAGCGUGGGGAGCAAACAGGAUUAGAUACCCUGGUAGUCCACGCCGUAAACGAUGAUUACUAGGUGUGGGGGGACUGACCCCUUCCGUGCCGCAGCAAACGCAAUAAGUAAUCCACCUGGGGAGUACGACCGCAAGGUUGAAACUCAAAGGAAUUGACGGGGGCCCGCACAAGCAGUGGAGUAUGUGGAUUAAUUCGAAGCAACGCGAAGAACCUUACCAGGUCUUGACAUCGUAUGCAUAGCUCAGAGAUGAGUGAAAUCUCUUCGGAGACAUAUAGACAGGUGGUGCAUGGUUGUCGUCAGCUCGUGUCGUGAGAUGUUGGGUUAAGUCCCGCAACGAGCGCAACCCUCACUGUUAGUUGCUACGCAAGAGCACUCUAGCAGGACUGCCGUUGACAAAACGGAGGAAGGUGGGGAUGACGUCAAAUCAUCAUGCCCCUUAUGACCUGGGCCUCACACGUACUACAAUGGCUGUCAACAGAGGGAAGCAAAGCCGCGAGGUGGAGCGAACCCCUAAAAGCAGUCUUAGUUCGGAUUGUAGGCUGCAACCCGCCUACAUGAAGUCGGAAUUGCUAGUAAUCGCAGAUCAGCAUGCUGCGGUGAAUACGUUCCCGGGCCUUGUACACACCGCCCGUCACGCCAUGGGAGUCGGUAACACCCGAAGCCUGUAGUCUAACCGCAAGGAGGACGCAGUCGAAGGUGGGAUUGAUGACUGGGGUGAAGUCGUAACAAGGUA
rnacentral:rRNA from 1 species